rnacentral:ncRNA from 1 species
AAAAAUUUUUGUAGUUUAUUAAAUUUAUUUAAAGUUUAUUUUACAUAUAAAUUUUAGUGUUAAAUAUAAAUUUAUUUUAAUAAUAAUUUUUAUUAUAAAUUUUAGUAAUUAAUAUUAAAUUAUUUAAGAAAUUAAUAUUUAGUAAUAUUUAAAUUAAUAACAAAUUUUGUGCCAGCAGUUGCGGUUAAACAAAGAUUAAAUUAAAUUUUUUUAGUUAAAUUAAUUAAUAAUUUAAACAAUAUAAAAUAAUAUAAAUUUUAAAUUAUUAGGUGAAAUUUUAAUUUAAUAAAAUAUUAUUUAAAUUUUAUGAUUUAAUAAAUUUUUAUAAAAACUAGGAUUAGAUACCCUAUUAUUAAAUUUUUAAAUUAAAUAUACUAAAAUAGUAAUUAAUUAUUUAUUGAAACUUAAACAAUUUGGCGGUAUUUUAGUUCAUUUAGAGGAAUCUGUUUAAUAAUUGAUAAUCCACGAAUAAAUUUACUUAAUUUAUAAUUUUAUAUAUCGUUGUUAAAAAAAUAUUUUAUAAUAAUAAUAAUAUUUAAAAAUUAGGAAAAAAAUUAAAUCAGAUCAAGAUGUAGAUAAUAAUUAAGAAUAUAAUGGAUUACAAUAAAUUUAUUUAAAUGAAUAUUAAUUUGAAAUAAUUAAUUGAAAUUGGAUUUAAAUGUAAUUUUAUUUAAUUUAAUAAAAUGAUUUAAAAUUGAAAUAUGUACAUAUUGCCCGUCGCUUUCAUAUAAUAAAAUUGAAAUAAGUCGUAACAAAGUAGAGGUACUGGAAAGUGUUUCUAGAAAGAA